UUUUUUUCUUUAUUCACAUCGUAAAUAUAACAAAAUCUAAUAUCUAUUAACUUUAUCUAUAUAUAAAUAUAUAUUAAUAUGCUUAAACUCAAAACUCAUACUGUAAAGCCCAAAAUCUGCCCGGGCCCAUACCAACAAAAUAACCCAAAUAAUAAACCCAAAAUUAACAGUCCAUUUACAAACUCAAGCCCAAACCCAAAUAAAAAAAACCUAGCCCAGGACUAAAAUUUUAGCAGCAGAAAACCUUGGCUUUUCUUUGCGCCGCAUGCCUCCUCGUCUGCCACUCCCAGCGCCGCGUGCUCUGUCAGGCACCUCCUCGCAUGCUCGCCGCCACCGUUCGCCUAUCACUGGCCCUUCACGCGUGUCAGACCUCCUGCAAGAACAAACAACAGUCCAAACAACAAAACGACAAAAGAAGAAAAUUUAGGUCCUGUAGAUACUCGCACAACAUCCCCUAUUCAUAAAUCCGCGCCCGCUUUCAUACAAUUAAUUUCUUUUUUAAAUCGGCUAUAAAAGGCCGAAUCAAACGAUUGUAUGGGUUCUACUACUUUUUUUACGAACACACAGAUAUUGGAAUCAAAAAAUAGAAAAACAAGAUUUAAAAAGGUUGAUUUGAAUUGCUUUCUCUUCAUUUUUUUCUUAUCUUUUGCGUAUUUAUUUUUUUAUUUCUGCAAAUCAAUCUUAAAAAUAAUCAAUAGCAAAAAAAGAAAGGAAAAGAAGCUACCUGAAUCGGCCCUUAGGCCCGCUGUCGAUGGUCCUCCACCGUCGCCGGACUUGGGUUCAAGGAGGGGCCAAAGCUUUUCUCUUUCCCUUUGUUUCCCCGUUCCAUAGCCUCGACCUCUGAAUGCGCUUCAAUGCGCCGAUAGUAGGCGCCCUCGCAUGGCUCCGGCCACCGGGCAGUGAGGAGGCGUGACGGCGGCGGGGUUCCUAACCUUGGAACCCUAGCAGAGAAAAGGAGUCUCCCUUUUGUUUUAUUUUUGUUUUUUUUUUUUGUGUGUUCU
rnacentral:lncRNA from 1 species